rnacentral:rRNA from 1 species
UAAAUAAGCGGAGGACAAGAAACUAAAUAGGAUUCCCUUAGUAAUGGCGAAUGAACAGGGAUGAGCUCAGAAUGAAAAUUGAGGCCUCUGGCCUUGAAUUGUAGUUUCGAGAUGUAUUACCAACAGGGGUGCAGUUGAAAGCCUCUUGGAAAAGAGCACCAGUGAGGGUGAGAGUCCCGCGUGUCAUCUGCAGCCCCCUGUGCACGGUGUAUUCUCUUAGAAUCACAUUCCUUGGGAUUGGAGCGCAAAGUGGGUGGUAAAUUUCAUCUGAAGCUGAAUAUUGGUUCGAGACCGAUAGUGAACAAGUACCAUGAGGGAAAGAUGAAAAGGACUUUGAAAAGAGAGUUAAAAGUGCCUGAAAUUGCUGAAGGGGAAGCGAACGAAACCACCGCGGCUUGGUGAGAUUGCUGUGCGAUACUGUGACUGCUGGCCACCUCAACGAAAGUGCGGUGGUUGGUCUCGAUCGGGAUGCGCAUGGUGUUUCUUGGCUUGUCGGUCAGCAUAGGCUCGCGCAUGGGGAAACCAUUGGAGACAUGGUAGCUCGCCUUCGGGUGUGUGAAUGUGUCCGGUUGUACUCGUGCAUGUGCUGCUUGUUGACAAAAUGGUUCCGCUCGGCCCGUCUUGAAACACGGACCAGGG